rnacentral:lncRNA from 1 species
CUGCGCAUUAUCCUAUCAAGCAUCAGAAGCCAUUUCUGUGGGAUAUUUGUCAACCUACGAAGUCCUUUUAGAACAAAUGAAAUGGGCAGCGAAUUACAAAAAUGUCAUUCUCUAAAGGAAAUGGAUGAAGGCUUUUGUUCUCCAGUAAUAAAUAGAUGCCAUAGCCUUAUAACACUAUUUUUUUAUUACGUUUGACAGGGUUACUAUUUCCAGUUCAUUAAGGAAACAGCUUGAAAACUAUUUUUUCAUAUGCUUUUAAAAAUAAUGUUUUCUCAGUAAUAAAUAUAAGCAAUAGCUCACAUAACGUUAACUUCAACAUCAAGAUUCAUUUCAAGGUAGCUGUACUAGGCAUUACCGUAUAUAUAAUGAAAAGUUUUAAGUAUAUCUUUUUUUUUCCAGCAUAUAUAGACAAUUAUUUAGCUGGCAGGCGGUGAGUCUAUAAGCAGUAAUGCAUGUCCUCAGUUUUUAAAUGAAUCUAGUAUUGUUUUUAUGUUUUGGCAAACCAAUGAUCUUGUUCAUGAUGGUCUCAUAGAACCUCAUGAUAUAUAUGCCAUAGGCUAAGGUCAAGCAAAGGAAUAAUAACUCACCUCUUUAAAUGAAUGCUUCAAAGUAAAUCUUCUAUUUUAAUAGCAGUAAACAGAGGUCAGGAUGACACUCUCCCAGGCUUGAGAAUAGAGCCUGUGUGUUAAUAUUCUCUAAGAAUUACAGCUGCAGCUCUGGGUGACAAAAUGUUUGCUAAAGCAUGUCCCCGAUAAAAUAUUUUACAGUACUUCAAAUGGCACUAUGUAUUUGAAAUUUUACAAAAAGCUGAACUGAGACAUGCAUGUAAAAAUACAUCUUAUGAUACUAUUGUUGUUUUCCUUCGCUUUUAAAUACUGUGUUAAAAUGCUCCAUAAAGGACCAUUAACUGUUUUUGCACGCAGAAAGUUCCAUGUUAACUGGCUGAAAAUAUUAAGUGAUAUAGGAUAAAUCCAUAGUAGUGAACAUAUCUGCUCUGUCAGUCAAAGUAUUUAAUGUGUAAGGUGCAUUUCUCUCAUCAUCCACUGAUCAAUUAUUAAGGGAACAUUUUAUUUACAUCAAAAUGCAGAAUUUCUAAUGUUUACCCUCGUUUUUGCCAGUAGAAUAUUCUUUCAAGUACUAUAUUGCUGACACUAGUUAUUGUUGAUUACAAGUGAACAUUUUGUUAAUAAGAAGAACGCAGAAUUGAUUUUGCAGGAAGAUAAAUCAGUAAACCAGACCGUUAACUGCUCCCCUGCUUUGUAACUAUUUCACUAAUUCUAGACUAAUUAUAAUCAGAUCUUUAUUAGUUAGAUCAUCUCAGAGUUUACGCUGGACUCGGAUCAAAUGUAGGGUGAACAGUGAAGAAUAUACUGAUAAAUACACUCCUUCAUUGCAGUGUAUUUUUCAAGACACACACCAAUGCACUUUUCAGAUUAGGCUCUGUCCCUUAGUUACCAUCAGUCAGACAGAGACAACUAAACUUUAUGAUGAACAGCUCUGGACAGUCCAGCACGUUCUCUUUCUCCCACCACACACCAGACCUGUGCUCUUUCCUGUGUGUCCUCCCAUCCUCAGGUGAGCUCGGACUCCUUCAGAUGAACCAACCAGCUGGACCCUGGCCAUGUGUCUUUCUGCGUGCAGGACUGGCAGCUUCAGUUAUCUCUUUAGCUCAGGCACCAACCCUGGAAUAUUGGAAGCAUUUCCUCCAUGCUUACUUGGACAGGCAGUAAGACUGAGAACUGUAUCCAGAUGAACUUCCUUUUGUGCAGCCAUUUUUGAUGGUGAGGAAAGCUGAAGCAACCAGAAUUACUCUUGAUUUUAGACUAAACUGAUGAAAU